CCAGCCUAGGUGACAGAACGAGACCUUGCCUCAGAAAAAAAAAAAAAAAAAGGGUGGGGGGAGGUAAAUUUAAUUGUAAGUUAUUUCACUAUAAAGCUGUUAAAAAAUAACUAUUAAGUCUAAACAGUAAUCCUGGGAAUGUAUAUUGGGAAACUAUAUUGUACCUCUGCAGAACUGAAAAACAUACAGAGACAGGCAUGCAGCCGGUGUUCAAUAAAUGCUUUCAGAAUGUAGUGGAAACAUUAUGCACCAGUGUUUAUUGAAAGGAAAGUCUCCCUGCUCUCUCAAGUUCAAGUCAGCCCAGGUUUAACAUUAUCCUUGUCUGCCACCUGGUGGCCCAAAUGGGCAAAGUGGGUGUCCUGGUCUUUCGCUCCAAACUUCAAAAAGCUGUAGUUGGGCUUAAAGGCCGUGGAUGGAAAGAAGGGAGACUUUCGCCCUGGAAAUCCGGUGCCCCGAGAGGCAAGUUGGUCAGAGGUAGGGGUAUAAGGGGAUUAUUAGGGUCUAUGGGACUAGAAUACAGCCUCUUAAUGACAGAGGGAAUAUACUUUGGUGAAACCAAGAGGCCGAUUGAACACAAUUGGCCACCUUUGCACACUGAGAUAAAAUAUGAGGAGGAUUUUUGCGAAGCCAGGAAGGAGAAAAGUUUAGGGACAACAAUGAGGUAAGUAGGAAAAUAAUCAUAUGGACACACAUGGUGAGUUCGGGGAUGCUCAGGGGGCUGAAAGGUUGGCAAGGGAAUUCUGAAAGGCCAGAGAACAUCUCCCUGGGUGGAGAGGCUCCUGGGAGCCAGGGAACAGGAAUCUCUUUUCUUAGAUAUGCCUGGACCUUUGGACCCUCAAUCCCACUUCCGGGGCACACCCCACAGGUAAACAUCUUCGCGAGUGUGCUACGAUCCUGUGAGUAGGGGCCUUACAGUGUCUGUAGAACCACUGAGAAGAAGAGCAACCUUCAGGAGACGGCCACUGAGGAAUCGGCUUGGCUUUCCUGGCAACUGUACAGGAGGCCCAGGCUCAGGGGCCUGUGGACAAGCCCAGUCUUGCUUCUUACAAAAAUGGGUUGAGUCACCUCUGCAGGACACAGAUAGGCGAGGAGGUGGCUUGUUUUUGUUUGUUUGUUUUUGUUUUUGUUUUUAGAUUGAGUCUUGCUCUGUCACCCAGGCUGGAGUAUAGUGGCACAAUCUCAGCUUACUAUGAUCUCCGCCUCCAGGGUUCAAGCAAUUCUCCUGGCUCAGCCUCCCAAGUAGCUGGGAUUACAGGGAUGUGCCACCACGCUUGGCUAAUUUUUGUGUUUAGUAAAGACAGGGUUUCACCUUGUUGGCCAGGCUGGUCUCGAAAUCCUGACCUCAGGUGAUCCACCUGGCUUGGCCUCCCAAAGUGCUAGGAUUACAGGCAUGAACCACCGCACCUGGCCUGUAAAGGUGGCUUGUUUUAAAUGUCAAUGAUAGACGACAUUUAGUGGGACAAAAGGGGAGUAUAGGAACUUUUACAUUUUCAGUAGUUGGUGACCUUGGUGGCUGAAAUCUGGGAGCUCUAAGUGCUAUGGUUUAAAUGUUUGUAUUGCCUCAAAAAUUUGUAUGGUGAAACCUAAUCCCCAAUGUGAUGGUGUCAAGAGGUGGGGACUUCAGGAGGUGAAGGGGAUUAGUGUCCUUACAAAAGAGGCCAGAUGGAGCUUGUUUUCCCUUUCCUCCAGGGGAGCACACAAUGAGAGGCUGCCAUCUAUUAACCAGAGAACAAGUCCUUGCCAGACAGCAAAUCUGCUGACACCUUGAUCCUGGACUUCUAAGCCUCUAUAACUUAGGACAUGAUGAAAACUUUACAGAUGAUAUGAUGUCUGGGAUUUGUUUCAAAUAAUGAUGCAAGAGAGAGGUGGCCAUCCGGAAAACACCAGGUUAUAUUCAACCUGAGAAAGCUGAUUUAAAACAGAAACAAAAACAAGAUCUUUGUUAUUGCUGAAGACGGACAAUGGAGAUGACAUUUCUCCAUGCUGCCUAGGCUGGUCUGGAACUCCUGGGCUCAAGUUCAGGAGUCCCACCUCGGCCUCCAAUAGUGCUGGGAUUACAG
rnacentral:lncRNA from 10 species